UCAACUUGUUGCGGUGAAAUAAAAUGAAUAUGGGUGUCAAUACCGCCAGCUGUAAGAAUUCUAUUUUCGCCAGCAAUAAUCUCCGUCGAUGCUCCUAUCGUGAUAUCGACAUUGUCCAUUAUCCUUUUAUUGCCUGCUUUACCGAUUCUGCAAAUUCUCCCAUCACGAAUAGCAACAUCCGCCUUAAUGAUCCCUGUAUAGUCUAAAAUCAAAGCAUUGGUAAUCACUAAGUCUGGUACAUUGUCCUCAUCGCGUACAGCCAAAGGAUCAAGCCCCAUCCCUUCA
rnacentral:sRNA from 1 species